GGAAAAGAAACUAACAAGGAUUCCCCUAGUAACUGCGAGUGAAGCGGGAAAAGCUCAAAUUUAAAAUCUGGCGGUCUUUGGCCGUCCGAGUUGUAGUCUGGAGAAGUGCUUUCCGCGCUGGACCGUGUACAAGUCUCUUGGAACAGAGCGUCAUAGAGGGUGAGAAUCCCGUCUUUGACACGGACUACCAGUGCUUUGUGAUGCGCUCUCAAAGAGUCGAGUUGUUUGGGAAUGCAGCUCAAAAUGGGUGGUAAAUUCCAUCUAAAGCUAAAUAUUGGCGAGAGACCGAUAGCGAACAAGUACCGUGAGGGAAAGAUGAAAAGCACUUUGGAAAGAGAGUUAAACAGUACGUGAAAUUGCUGAAAGGGAAACGCUUGAAGUCAGUCGCGUUGGCCAGGACUCAGCCUUGCUUUUUUGCUUGGUGCAUUUUCUGGUUGACGGGCCAGCAUCGAUUUUGACCGCUGGAAAAAGAUUAGGGGAAUGUGGCACCUUCGGGUGUGUUAUAGCCCUUAGUCACAUACAGUGGUUGGGAUCGAGGACCGCAGCACGCCUUUAUGGCCGGGGUUCGCCCACGUUCGUGCUUAGGAUGCUGGCGUAAUGGCUUUAAACGACCCGUCUUGAAACACGGACCAAGGAGUCUAACAUGCCUGCGAGUGUUUGGGUGGAAAACCCGAGCGCGUAAUGAAAGUGAAAGUUGAGAUCCCUGUCGUGGGGAGCAUCGACGCCCGGACCUGAACUUCGGUGAUGGAUCUGCGGUAGAGCAUGUAUGUUGGGACCCGAAAGAUGGUGAACUAUGCCUGAAUAGGGUGAAGCCAGAGGAAACUCUGGUGGAGGCUCGUAGCGAUUCUGACGUGCAAAUCGAUCGUCAAAUUUGGGUAUAGGGGCGAAAGACUAAUCGAACC
rnacentral:rRNA from 1 species